GACGAACGCUGGCGGCGUGCUUAACACAUGCAAGUCGAACGGAAAGGCCCUGCUUUUGUUGGGUGCUCGAUUGGCGAACGGGUGAGUAACACGUGAGUAUCCUCCCCUUGUCUUUGUGAUAACUUCAGGAAACUGGGGCUAAUACCCGAUAGGAUCUCCUGCUGCAUAGUGUUGGUUGGAAAGUUUCGGCGGUUGUGGAUCGACUCGCGGCUUAUCAGCUUGUUUGUGUGGUAGUGGCUUACCAAGGCUUUGACGGGUAGCCGGCCUGUGAGGGUUACCGGCCACAUUGGGACUGAGAGACGGCCCAGAAUCGUACGGGAGGCAGCAGUGGGGAAUAUUGCACAAUGGGCGGAAGCCUGAGGCAGCAACGCCGCGUGCGGGAUGACGGCCUUCGGGUUGUAAACCGAUUUCGACUGUGACGAAGAGUGAGUGACGGUAAUGGGUAAAGAAGCACCGGCUAACUACGUG
rnacentral:rRNA from 1 species